rnacentral:hammerhead_ribozyme from 1 species
GCACUGCUGAGGAGUCUAACAACAGGGCGAAACGUCCGUCCAGUGU